AAAAGGUGGCUAUGCUACCGCUUUUGGAUGCCGGGCGGGCGCAUUAGCUAGUUGGUGGGGUAAAGGCUUACCAAGGCAAUGAUGCGUAGCCGAACUGAGAGGUUGAUCGGCCACAUUGGGACUGAGACACGGCCCAAACUCCUACGGGAGGCAGCAGUAGGGAAUCUUCCACAAUGGGCGAAAGCCUGAUGGAGCAACGCCGCGUGGGUGAAGAAGGUCUUCGGAUCGUAAAACCCUGUUGUUAGAGAAGAAAGUGCGUGAGAGUAACUGUUCACGUUUCGACGGUAUCUAACCAGAAAGCCACGGCUAACUACGUGCCAGCAGCCGCGGUAAUACGUAGGUGGCAAGCGUUAUCCGGAUUUAUUGGGCGUAAAGGGAACGCAGGCGGUCUUUUAAGUCUGAUGUGAAAGCCUUCGGCUUAACCGGAGUAGUGCAUUGGAAACUGGGAGACUUGAGUGCAGAAGAGGAGAGUGGAACUCCAUGUGUAGCGGUGAAAUGCGUAGAUAUAUGGAAGAACACCAGUGGCGAAAGCGGCUCUCUGGUCCGUAACUGACGCUGAGGUUCGAAAGCGUGGGUAGCAAACAGGAUUAGAUACCCUGGUAGUCCACGCCGUAAACGAUGAAUGCUAAGUGUUGGAGGGUUUCCGCCCUUCA
rnacentral:rRNA from 1 species